AAUAACACUGUGAUAGUAAAAAAAAAAGACAAGACCAAAUUCGACGGUUUCCCCCUAUUUCGGGUCCUACGAAUCGAACUGCAUCAUUACUUUUUUGAGUUACAAUCAUGGUUUCAUACAAAAUUUUUUUUUGAAGUUUUUCAUCAAAGUGGCCCAUUGUAAGAGAAAGGCACUUUUUUCUUCGGUCUCUAACUUUUUUAAUGUUGACUUUUUUGGUAAACUUUCUUUGGCAAAGCUUCUCAGAAUAAGUCCGUCUUUAAGUUCUUAGAUGACUGUAAACCCCAAAAUCAAUGUUUUUUGUGUCCUUAUAGCCAAUAUGUAAAAAAAAACUGAAAUUUAAUCCAUUUUUUUAAUGUUUUUGCCCUCAGGUUUCGUCAAUAUUUUAAUUUACCCUUUGAUACUUAUACAUUAAGUGACACCCCAUCACAUUAUAAACCAUUGCUUAGGAAUGCACCGGUCUGAAGAUUGGAAAAAAUAUGUAUAUGACAUGGACCAUUUUGAGCAGCAAGUUCCGACUGAAUCCGAUGAGCAUGGAGAAAGAUUUCAUCAAGUCGCCGCCCCCUUGAGCAUUGGUACAGCGGAAAAAAGCUUGACUCGUUGCUUGCUGAUUUGUGUUGGACAUUGAUAGAUGUCUUAUUAAAUUUAAUUUAAAUAUUGUGUACAAAUUUAUGAUACUUAUUGAUAACAGUUAUAAGAUACAAAAAGAAUAAAAUAGCAUACAAACAUAGUUAGUGUAGCUUUUUUAAAAAAUACAAAUUUUGUUAAGUUUUUUUUUUCUAAUGGUUAGUUUUCUCAGAACGUUGUCUUUGCUUAAGUUUCUUACUAUUACAAGAUGUCACUUAAUGUAUAAGUAUCAAAGGGUAAAUUAAAAUAUUGACGAAACCUGAGGGCAAAAAAAUUAAAAAAAUGGAUUAAAUUUCAGUUUUUUCGACAUAUUGGCUAUAAGGACACAAAAAACAUUGAUUUUGGGGUUUACAGUCCUCUAAGAACUUAAAGACAGACUUAUUCUGAGAAGCUUUGCCAAAGAAAGUUUACCAAAAAAGUCAACAUUAAAAAAGUUAGAGACCGAAGAAAAAAGUGCCUUU